rnacentral:rRNA from 1 species
UACGAAGGGGGCUAGCGUUGCUCGGAAUGACUGGGCGUAAAGGGCGCGUAGGCGGCGGACACAGUCAGGCGUGAAAUUCCUGGGCUCAACCUGGGGGCUGCGUUUGAGACGUGUUUGCUAGAGUUCGGAAGAGGGUCGUGGAAUUCCCAGUGUAGAGGUGAAAUUCGUAGAUAUUGGGAAGAACACCGGUGGCGAAGGCGGCGACCUGGUCCUUGACUGACGCUGAGGCGCGAAAGCGUGGGGAGCAAACAGG